CCUACGGGAGGCAGCAGUGAGGAAUAUUGGUCAAUGGACGAGAGUCUGAACCAGCCAAGUAGCGUGAAGGAUGACUGCCCUAUGGGUUGUAAACUUCUUUUAUAUGGGAAUAAAACGUUCCACGUGUGGGAUUUUGUAUGUACCAUAUGAAUAAGGAUCGGCUAACUCCGUGCCAGCAGCCGCGGUAAUACGGAGGAUCCGAGCGUUAUCCGGAUUUAUUGGGUUUAAAGGGAGCGUAGGUGGAUUGUUAAGUCAGUUGUGAAAGUUUGCGGCUCAACCGUAAAAUUGCGGUUGAAACUGGCAGUCUUGAGUACAGUAGAGGUGGGCGGAAUUCGUGGUGUAGCGGUGAAAUGCUUAGAUAUCACGAAGAACUCCGAUUGCGAAGGCAGUUCACUGGACUGCAACUGACACUGAGGCUCGAAAGUGUGGGUAUCAAACAGGAUUAGAUACCCCAGUAGUC
rnacentral:rRNA from 1 species